rnacentral:rRNA from 1 species
RGACCUGGUGGCUAUGGCGGGAGAGAUCCACCCGAUCCCAUCCCGAACUCGGCCGUGAAAACCCCCAGCGCCUAUGAUACUGCGGCUUAAGCCGUGGGAAAGUCGGUCGCCGCCAGGUCU